rnacentral:lncRNA from 1 species
ACUUUGAUAACGGGGUUUCUCCCACAGCAGAGAUUUAAAAGGGACAGGAAAAUCUGGAAUAGCAUCUUCAACUAAAGAUGUCAAAGCACAAGCUCACUUCCCACGGAAGGUAGCAAUUACUAUUAUCUACUUGACAGCUACAAGAACCUAGGCACAGAGGUUAAGUGCUCUGCAAAUACUACCAGCCAGUGGUGGUUUUCCUGCCAGAACCAAGUUCUUGCCUUCCAGUGGACACCAUUGAUCUCUCAAGAUGAUUCUUUAAGUUAAAAAGCACGAAUCACAAAGGGCCUCAAAACCACAUUAAAAUUUAAGAUUGAUCUGCUCUUCUGCUUCUGAAUGUGAGAGCCUAUACUGGAUCUCUGAAGAAAAUAAAGAUGAGAUGAGGUUCUGAUCCCUUGGACUUCAUGAAGUUACGUGACAGAAAGUAUGAUUGUCUAGCCGAUACUUGACUGUGUGAAACCUUCAUCUACUCCGGAAUCCUGAGGCACAGACUCAGAGGCCCUCUGACUCACGAUUAGGGUUGUCAGGGUGAUGCAACAGCAAGACCAUAGCCUUUGGUGUCGGAAUACCAAGUUUUGAAGCUCAGUUUCCCCACUCACUAAUUUUCAGUGAGCACAUACAUAAUUUGAAAUCUGAAAAUGGACAAUAAUGCCUACCUACUUCAAAAUUUGGUUUGAGAAUCAAGUGAAAUAUUAAUAUAUAUGUAAGCAUUUUAUGAACAAGGAAGCAAGUUAUAAAUGCAUUAUCUUGUUAAUUUAGUCAUUUCACUAGGGGUGGGUCCAAUGUGGGCCU